CUCUAGAUCAUCAUUUUUGUCAUUACCAUAAUUCAACGCUACAUAUUACCUACGCUACAAACACCAUGAGAUGUGUUAGAAUCGUUGUUUACUAAGAUAUUUUUGGUAGGUUUAGAAACUUGGGUGUGUCAGUUUCUGAUUUCUCCGAUCUGUUCUAAUACUCUGGAGGAGCCAGCUAUUAUUAACCAGGUUGAAGGAAGGAAAUUUGUUGCGAACAAGGACAUGGGUGGUCUUGAUCACUUGUCUUUUGGGGAUUUGCUGGCCUUAGCCAACACUGCAUCAUUCUGUUUCUCCUGUCAGAUCCCAAAACCUACAAGUUGAAACCGUAGCACAGUUUGGCGUUGUUUUCCUUCUUUGAACAGGUAGUAUAGUUUUUGGUAGAACGGAACAGCACAAGUUCUCUUCAUGGUCAAGUUACAAUAGGGAUACUUAUCUUUCAGGAGAAAGCAAUUAGUCAACAUUGUUGGAUUGGGGUUCAGAAUGAGAAGCUUGCUAGGUUCGGGAGAAGCUCCAUCUACAAGUGGAGAAGUUGCAGCAAAGCAAAAACACAUUACGGAGUUUAUCUCGCAAUCUGAAAGAAAGAUAUGGCAUUAUCGAAUCAACUAACGUUGCUGUGAUCUAUUUUUAAUAUGUCAUGUUUGUUUAAAC